UUAGUGUACAUUAGAGGGAAUUCGAUUAGUUUGAUUAAUAUAUGGAGAGAGAGAGAGAGAGAGAGAGAGAGAGAGAGAGAGAGAGAGAGAGAGAGAGAGAGAGAGAGAGAGAGAGAGAGAGAGAGAGAGAGAGAGAGAGAGAGAGAGAGAGAGAGAGAGAGCACGUGUAGAAUAGGUUAGAUUAGUGAACAUUAGAGGGAAUUCGAUUAGUUUGAUUAAUAAAAAGAGAGAGAGAGAGACACAGACAGAGACAAACACAUAGACAGACACAAACAAACAGAGAGACAGACAGAGACACAGACAAACACAGACACAAACACAACGAAACUUACUCACACAAAAACCCAAAUAGAUACAGAUUCAAAGAUACACAGAGAUACAAAGAAACACAGACACACACAGACACAGACACAAAACGAGCUACAUGGACAACACAUGUACUACACAACCUCACAACACAGGCGGAACGGAGAGCGAGCGAGCGAGCAAGCAAGCGAGCAAGCAUCAGCAGCGUCGGACAAGGCCUCUGCCCCAGGGAAACAAUAUCUCACUGCUCGCUUCUUGCCGCGCGCUCAGCCCUUAAUGGAGAGUGUGUCGGGCCGGGCGUAAGUGCUGGCUGCCGCGCGGGUUUAUGGGGACGGAGACCACGGCGAGGCGGCGGUGAGACAGCCCAAUGAAGCCCAGCAAGAAGCAUGGCGGUUGUUUGCGAUGAUCUUAGACUUAGAGGGAGGGAGGGAGUGUCGAGACGGGGCAGGGAGAUAGAAAAGAGGAGGAGGAGAAGAUGGAGAGGAUGACAGGAAGAUAAAGAACAAGAACAAGAGGAAGAGAAGAAGACAGUUAUAUGAAGAAAAAUGAGAGGAUAACAGGGAAAUAAAGAAGAAAACAAGAACAAGAGGAAGAGGAGAAGAUAGUUAUAUGAAGAAAAAGAAAGGAGGAAGAGAAGGUGUUGGAGGAGGAGGAAAGGAUGAUAGGAAGAUAAAGGAGAACAAGAAUAGAAUAGAAGGAGGAGGAAGAGGAGCAGAAAACAAUAAUAUAAAGGAAAAAUGAAAGGAGGAGGAGAAGGAAGAGGAGGAGGAGGAGGAGGAGGAUGGCAAGAAGAUAAAGAACAAGAACAAGAGGAGGAGGAGGAGGAGGAGGAGAAAACAAAAAUAUGAAGAAGAAAAUGGAGAAAGGGAAACAAAACGAAGGAAAAAGAAAGAAAGGAGGAGAAGAAGAAAACGAAAAUAUGGAAAAAGGAAAAAAGAGAGGAGGAAAAAACAAAAGUAUGAACAACAGAAAAAGAAGGAAGGAGGAGAAGAGAAAGGAGGAGAUAAAGCAGAAAAAGGAAAGGAGGAGGAGGAGGAGGAGGAAAUAGAGGAUAUGAUCGUGGUGAUAGCGAUGAUGAGGAUGAGAAAGAUGAACAAAAAAUUGAUUACGUACAACAAGAACAGUAACGAGAAAAAUAAGAAAAUUAGGAGGAGGAAGAAGAGAAGAAAACUUGUAGAUGAGGAUAAAAGAAAAAAAAAAUACAAACGCAUAUGAUAAUGGAGAUCACGAAGAUAAAACUGAACAAGUACGAAAAGAAAAAAAAAAGAAAAAAAAGAAGAGGAGGAAGAGGAGACGUAAACAAGAAGAUUAUGCAAAUGAAAGAAAGAAAAAAGAAGAAUAGAUGAGAUGAUGAUGGCGAUGAUAAUGAUGAUAAACAAAAAAAGUAUUGAAGUACAAGAAAAGAACAAGAAUUAGAAGAAAAGGAAGAGGAGGAGGAGGAGAAGAGGAAGAAGAAAACAAGAAGAAGAAAAAUUAAAAGAGAGAAGACAAGAUGAGAUGAUGACAAUGAUGAUAAUGACAUACAAAAAUGGGAAAGAAUACAAGAAAAACAAGAACUAGAAAAAAAAAAGAGGAAGAGAACGAGGAGAAAACACGAAGAUUAUGAAGAUGGAAAGAAAGAGCAAAGAAUAGAUGAGAUAAUAGACAAAAAUUAGCAAGUACAAGAGAAAAACAUUAAACUAGAAUAAGGAAGAAGAGGAAGAGGAGGAGGAGAGAAAAAAUAAGAAGAUAAAGCAGAAAAAGGAGAGAAUUAGGAGGAGAAGAUAAAAGAGAUGAUUCUGGGGAAGGCAAUGAUAUACAAAAAAAAGAAAAAUGAGAGGAUUAGAAGAAGGAGGAGGAGGAGGAGAAAAAGAUGAAAGAGAUGAUUCUGGGGAAGGCAAUGAUAUAAAAAAAAGAUAAAGGAGAGGAUUAGAAGAAGGAGGAGGAGGAGGAGGAGGAAAAGAUGAAAGAGAUGAUUCUGGGAAAGGCAAUGAUAUAUAAAAAUGAGAAAAAAAAUAUAUUAAAAGAAAAACUAGGAUAGAAGGAGAAGUAAAAAGAAGAGAAGGAAAGGAGGAGGAGGAGGAGAGGAAGAAGAUGAAGAAUUAGAAGAAGGAAUGAAGAGAUGAGAUGAAGAUGGAGAUGACAAAUGAUGAUGAUAUGCAAAAACGAAAAAGCAUAAGCAAAAAAAAAUAUGAAGUAGAAAAAGAGAAAGAGGAGAAGGGGAAGAAGAUGAAGAAUUAGAAGAAGGAAUGAAGAGAUGAGAUAAAGAUGGAAAUGACAAAUGAAAAUGGUAUGCAAAAACGAAGAACUAUAAGCAAAAAAAAAAACAUUAACUAGAAAAAAGAUUGAGAAAGAAGAGGAAGAGGAGGAGGAGAAGGAGGAGAAGUAAGAUCGUUUGAGUAAUGAACCUUUCUUAAUUAAUUCAUGCAGGUUACAGGUACAGGUUACAGGCUUCUCAUAAGGAACCUGGACCCGACCCAACCUGACCAACCGACCCGAUUACCGAUAAAGAUCAAAGAGGGGAAAAAAGCUGAAAAAAUAUCGAAACUCAUCCAGAAAAAAAGAAGAAAAAAACUACCCCGUGAAAACAAGAUAAUGAUUAGAGGAAAGAAAGAAAGGAGGAGAAAAGAUACUGAAGAAAAAAAGAAAACUAAAAA